ACGUCCUACGGGAGGCAGCAGUGAGGAAUAUUGGUCAAUGGGCUUACGCCUGAACCAGCCAAGUCGCGUGAGGGAAGACUGCCCUAUGGGUUGUAAACCUCUUUUGCCGGGGAGCAAAGUGCCGCACGUGUGCGGUUUGGAGAGUACCCGGAGAAAAAGCAUCGGCUAACUCCGUGCCAGCAGCCGCGGUAAUACGGAGGAUGCGAGCGUUAUCCGGAUUUAUUGGGUUUAAAGGGUGCGUAGGCGGACGCUUAAGUCAGCGGUAAAAUUGCGGGGCUCAACCUCGUCGAGCCGUUGAAACUGGG
rnacentral:rRNA from 1 species